UGGGGGGUACUGCCUGCCCAGUGAAUCAAUUUAAACGGCCGCGGUAUCCUGACCGUGCGAAGGUAGCACAAUCACUAGCCCUCUAAAUAAGGGCCGGUAUGAAUGGCAACACGAAGGCCUAACUGUCUCCUCUUUAACUAAUGAAACUUCUUUGGCCGUGCAAAAGCGGCCAUUAAAGCGCUAGACGAGAAGACCCUAUCGAGCUUAAGGAAUACAAGACCGAUCUAAGAUUAAACCAGCUGAACCUAUGGCACGCCACUCACACACUUAAUUUUAUUCUUGCUCUUUUGCUUCCUUUGGUUGGGGCAACCGCGGAGAAAAUCCACCCUCCGAGCCAAAUUUAUUUUUAACGACAUCACGUCAUAAGCAUAACUUUUACGGUAAAUGAUCCGGUUUAACCGAGCAACGAACAAAGUUACCGUAGGGAUAACAGCGUAAUCCCUCCCAAGAGCCCACAUUGCCGGAGGGGUUUGCGACCUCGAUGUUGGAUCGGGGAAUCCUGAUGGUGCAGCCGCUAUCAAGGGUUGGUCUGUUCGACCAUUAAAACCCCACGUGAUCUGAGUUCAGACCGGCG
rnacentral:rRNA from 1 species